CAGAGAGGGACUCCUGACUUAAGGUAAGGAGGGGUUUGAGGGACUCCAGCCUUAAGGUAAGGAGGGGUUUGAGGGACUCCUGACUUAAGGUAAGGAGGGGUUUGAGGGACUCCAGACUUAAGGUAAGGAGGGGUUUGAGGGACUCCAGCCUUAAGGUAAGGAGGGGUUUGAGGGACUCCUGCCUUAAGGUAAGGAGGGCUUUGAGGGACUCCUGCCUUAAGGUAAGGAGGGGUUUGAGGCUGAGGACGUCCGAAUUGAACAACGAACAUCGGAGCUACAAAACGUGGAGGAGCUGUGUGAGCCCUGAAGGCCACAGGAGGCUAAAGGAGGCUAAAGGAGGCUGAAGAAGGCUGAAGGAGGCUGAAGGUGCCUAAAGGAGGCUGAAGGAUGAUACUGAGGCUGGAGGCUAAAGGAGGCUGAAGAAGGCUGAAAGAGGCUAAAGAAGGAUAACAGACGGGAGACUGGAGGCUAGAGGAGGCUAAAGGAGGCUAACGGGCUAGAAGCUAAAGGAGCC
ensembl:lncRNA